CAGUGUAGUAAUUUCCUGCAAGCCGGGUCAAAAAACCAAAAUUUUAAAAACCUAAAUCUAGAUUUGCAUCUUCAUUUCACUCUCUCAUCUUCGUUCUCGGUCUCCAUCACUCCUCUGUUGCGUUUUUCAUCAGUUCAUCGUCGUUGACUGAUUCUUGGUUUCUGUCGCGUUCACCUUCAUCGUGCUUCCUGGUCUUCGACUCCCUGUCGCUCUUUUGCCUUCGUCAUCGAUCGACUGAACAUAGCUAUUGCAAUUUACUACUGGAAUCAAUUUUCAUCAGCAUCAUCAAUAUCUUCAUGGUUUCACUUAUAUGAAGUGAAAUACUGCAACUAUCAACUCAGGACGAUACAGACAUUCCCUCAUGUUUGUAUGGGCAGGCGUUCUUGCAAAAUUGCUGGCCGAAAGGUCUCCCUUUCACUCUACACUCCCUAUUUGAGUAUUUGUUUUUGUUCAUUGACUAGCUCUUAUGUUCACUGUUAUUCUAAGUUCACUCGAAUACCACUUAUUUGAUAAAAGACCUCAGUCAGAUUCUUGUGAUCAAAUUACUCUUGUAUGCUAGAGUUUUAGAAGUUUGCGUGGUUUAUAGUGCCACUAAUUGUAUAUAUAAUGUAACUUGUUGGAUUUUGAUUAUGUUAGAUAACAUUUAGCAAUAGUAUAGGGACUCCUCUGUAUUUAAGUUGUAAUAAGAAAGUGAAAAAUUAUUUUGGAAUGAUUCUGAAUUGAAUAAUAAUUUCUUCGACGUUGAAGCAUGCUGAAAUAUAUGCAAGUAUAUAUUGAGUAUGGUAAUCAAUAUAUACUUGCAUAUACUUUAUACUUGUACUCAAGGAUGGGAAAGGAAGUCAUAUCUGCGUAAAUUAGUUGCUAAGUUGAAAAUAAAUCUAGAGUAUACAACAUUGCUCUUAUUAGUUUAUUGGUGUGAAGCUCUAACUCCCUUUUUUUGGGAUUUUAACAUUGAGUAUGGUAAUCAAUAUAUAUAUACUAGCAUAUUUUAUACUUGUACAGUUGUACUCAAGGGUUAGUUGCUAAGCUGAAAAUAAAUCUAGAGUAUACAACAUUGCUUUUAUUUGUUUAUUGGUGUGAAGCUGUUGCAAAGGGAUUAUUCUUUUAAAUGUUAUAGUUUCAAAUCGACUCCCUUGUUUUGAGAUUUUAACAUUGUAAAUUUUACAGCUACCUUUUUAUUUCCUGUUGGUUUUAUGAUAGCCUGUCUGCUUAUGAUAACCUUGGAGUUUCAAUGAUUGAAAGAACUUACUAAAUCAUUGUCUUGGUACCCGAUGAUGAAGUGUUAAGAAAGGUGGUUCAAGUCCUAUUUCAAAUAUGGUUGUGGCUGCUGUACUUGAGAAAGCCAAGGAGCUGUACUCUAGAUUUAUUUUCAGCUUUGAAACUAUAACAUUUAAAAGAAUAAUCCCUGGCACAUAUUGAUUUAUUCAUAAAUGUUUUAAGUAA